rnacentral:rRNA from 1 species
ACGCUCGACACCUACGGGGGGCAGCAGUGGGGAAUAUUGCACAAUGGAGGAAACUCUGAUGCAGCGAUGCCGCGUGAGGGAAGAAGGUUUUCGGAUUGUAAACCUCUGUCUUUGGGGACGAUAAUGACGGUACCCAAGGAGGAAGCUCCGGCUAACUACGUGCCAACAGCCGCGGUAAUCUGAGCGGGCUGGCAAGGC